GAUGAACGCUGGCGGCGUGCCUAAUACAUGCAAGUCGAGCGAACAGACGAGGAGCUUGCUCCUCUGACGUUAGCGGCGGACGGGUGAGUAACACGUGGAUAACCUACCUAUAAGACUGGGAUAACUUCGGGAAACCGGAGCUAAUACCGGAUAAUAUAUUGAACCGCAUGGUUCAAUAGUGAAAGACGGUUUUGCUGUCACUUAUAGAUGGAUCCGCGCCGCAUUAGCUAGUUGGUAAGGUAACGGCUUACCAAGGCAACGAUGCGUAGCCGACCUGAGAGGGUGAUCGGCCACACUGGAACUGAGACACGGUCCAGACUCCUACGGGAGGCAGCAGUAGGGAAUCUUCCGCAAUGGGCGAAAGCCUGACGGAGCAACGCCGCGUGAGUGAUGAAGGUCUUCGGAUCAUAAAACUCUGUUAUUAGGGAAGAACAAAUGUGUAAGUAACUAUGCACGUCUUGACGGUACCUAAUCAGAAAGCCACGGCUAACUACGUG
rnacentral:rRNA from 1 species